CGCUUCCAUCUUCCUUUUUGCAUUCAUCCUCAGCAACUGUUCCAGUAAUCCCCCAAACCCUGAUACACUCCUAUCCCAGGCGGGGACCCUCAAAUGCCAGGCUCUCCCCGAGAAUGAGGCUGCGAAGCCGCGCAAAGACCAACCGGGUACCCUUUCCUUGGCCCGCGCCGGAAGAGGGAAGUGGCCGACACAAUGAACUCCGACGUGGCCGGUCCUGGCCGCCUCAGCCCCCUCCUCCCUAAUAUUUUCCUUUCCCUGUAAAUUCCUCCGCCUUAUCCGCACCCUCACCGCAGCCCAGGGUGUCCCAAAUAUCGACCUCUUAGAUUUUCAUUAAGAAAAAUUAACCCUGGAGGAAACCUUCACUCCUAAUUGUAAUUGUCUGCCAACGGGCUGGAUACGCCUGCUUGCCGUUUCCUUUUUUUUUUUUUUUUUUUUGUAGCCAGAGAAGACACCAGUGAUUAUUAGUAUUUUUUUAAAUUAAAAGGCUGGGUUUCUUUAAAUAGCCUUAGCGGCCCCAAAUAGGACGCUUACUAAAUAAUUAGCAGGCGUCGAGAAUUAAGCAGUCUUUACUGAUGCCCAGAAAGGAGGGAAAUCACAAAACUAAAUGUUAUCCCUAUGCGGCCCACAGGUUUGGGGGGAGAAUAUUCAGGCUUUUGUGUGUGCUUUUAUUUUGGAAGUGAAAAGGAUUGUGUGUGCAUACAGAAACAAUAAAUGGGUGUGAUUACAAACUGCCUCUUCUAGCCUUAGAGUUCAAAAACCUUGGCCUCCAAAACAAAUCCAAUACUCAGGUCCUGAAAAUGGCAGGGAGGAAUUGAGUUGAAUGCCCUAUGCUGGCCUUUCAGAUAACAGGAGGGCAGGCUGAGCAGUGAAAAUAGUUCCUGGGCUGCUGGAGCUGAGAAGAGAAGCGCUGCUCCGUGGGCUUUAGCCCGAAGGCCCACAUGUGUGUUGGGGGAUAUGGAGGGGUAGAAGUUGUUUUCAGUUCCCUGUAGCGAGAAUGGUCCCCUCUGGCUUCAAACCAUGGCCUACAACUUGGAACACGGACUCAAGUUUGUGUUCCAACGGUUCUGGAAUUUAGGAUUCCUUUCCCCUAUUAUUUGAAACAGACUGGCACUGGAAGGGUUCCCUUCUCUAGCAUCUGUCCCCACAAGGAUGCCAUAUCUAACAUACUCUGAACCUGACAGAAGUUACUGGCAAGCAAGCAGCCAGUCUUUGCCCUAGCGGGGCUCCCUUAUCGCGGUUAAAGCCGGAGCCUGGACUCGCAGGCUGGGAGAGCCGAGGAAGCUUCCCGGCAGAGUUCCCUGCGUGACGCUCCACCGAGCCUGGCUAGGCCUCAGCCCAGGUCUCAGCCUCAGCUCCCCAGUGAAGUUGGUGACAGGCCUCCUUGCCCUCGGAGUGGGCACACAGAAACGCCACGAAUGCCUCUAAUCAGAUCUCCUAGGCUGCUGCGGAGUAGAAACGCCAGGCUGCCGCCAUCCGGUCGUGAUCGUAACCGAGGCCUUGUCUGCGCCGUGGCAUACCAGGCCCAGAUCCACAGCCCUCGACAGCCGCACCCCUCGAGCCCUUCCUCUGCAGAUUCCGACCUCUACUUGAAGGCGCAUAGAAAAAUAAGACACCCCCCCUCCACCGCUCUCCCCAAGCAAGCCCUGGAUCUCUCCCGGUUCCCUCCCAAAGGAAUAGUUGGGGAGGAGAGGAGGUGGAGAUAGAAAACUGGACAUAGACCGAAGGUGAAAGAAAAACAAAGAAAAGGAAAUUAAAAAGGAAGGAGUAAAGAAGAAAGAAAAAAGAGGAAGGAAGGAGGGAAGGAAAGAAGGAAGAGUCAAAGGCAGCUCUUGGGAGUAGAGGGCGGUUUACAGAGAGAAGGGUACCUGAGACGAUUUCAACUGAAGUAAUGAAGGCAGUGUCGUGCUGUCGAGAGAAAGGUGGAUCCCAACAACAGGAAACUACCUAAAUCACCGACCAGUUCUGGUGCUGCCCGCGCGGAGCUGCCUCGCCCGCCGCCGCCGCCGCCGUUACUGCCGCCGCCGCCGCCAAAGAAGAACCCUGUGAUCGCGCCCGGCCCCUCGCCAACCUGCGCCCGCCUCUGUCACUGUGUGCUCCGGGCUGCCGCUAAGGCAUCACGGAGGGAGAAGCCACCGGCCCUGUUUUGCCAAUCAGCCAAAGUCAAGCCCUUUUUCCAACCUGCAUGUCCAUGCCUGCAAGACCUUCUCUUUGCCAAGGAAGAAAGAAAAAA